rnacentral:rRNA from 1 species
GCACGUGAAAUUGUUGAAAGGGAAGCGUUUACGACCAGACCUUUCCUGGCGGAUCAUCCGGCGUCUCGCCGGUGCACUUCGUCAGGUUUAGGCCAGCAUCGGUUUUCGUAGGGGGAUAAAAGCCUGGGGAACGUGGCUCUCUUCGGGGAGUGUUAUAGCCCCUAGCAUAAUACCCUUACGGGGACCGAGGACCGCGCUUUGCAAGGAUGCUGGCAUAAUGGUCGUCAACGACCCGUCUUGAAACACGGACCAAGGAGUCGAACAUUUGUGCGAGUGUUUGGGUGUUAAACCCUCACGCGUAAUGAAGGUGAACGGAGGUGAGAGCCCUUACGGGUGCAUCAUCGACCGAUCCUGAUGUCUUCGGAUGGAUUUGAGUAAGAGCAUAACUGUUCGGACCCGAAAGAUGGUGAACUAUGCGUGGAUAGGGUGAAGCCAGAGGAAACUCUGGUGGAGGCUCGCAGCGGUUCUGACGUGCAAAUCGAUCGUCAAAUCUGCGCAUGGGGGCGAAAGACUAAUCGAACCAUUAAAACCAGCGGUAAAUCUUGAUUUACUAGGUGGUUAAGAGGUCUCCCGGAAGGAGACCUAGGCCGGCCUACCCUGUAGUGGUGGCGGAAGUUACCCUGUAACGCCGCCCGACCUACCCGGUAGACGUCGGCCGACACCGCUAAAUUGCGGGGACAUCCUGUAAAGGCCACGGGCUACCGCCGGGCGCUGAAAAGCGUUGCGGCACCAAGAAUAGCGAUCUUGGGUAUGGUAAUAACGCCUGUGGUACCGGACGACCUGCAGCCAACCCCGCAUACCAGGGGCGAGUUCACAGACUAGACAGCGGUGGGUGCUACCCUGUAGUGCUUAAGAUAUAGUCGACCUAGGUCCUGAAAAGGAGCCUACCCUAUAGGGCUUACACUGUAGGACCUACCCGGGAGGACUUACCCGGUAAGAGCUACCCCGUAGAACUUACCCUGUAAGACUUACCCGGGAGGACCUACCCUGUAAGACCUACCCUAUAGAAAAGCGUCU